UAAGCUUGUGUGUCUGAUUUAUUUUACUUAACAUGAUGGUCUCAAGGUGCAUCCACUUUUCCACAGAUGUUCUUGGUUCUGGCAGAAUAGUAGUACUCCACUGUGUGUAAAUACCACACGAGCUUCUCUGUAGUCACCUCUCUCCCGGCCCUGGACAUACCUGGCAAGUGCCGUCUGCCUGGUUGUGAACCUUCCAGAAAAAGGAACAAAACUUCCAGUGUCAUCAACCAGGCUUGGAGCGAAGGGAAAAGGCCAGCUGAUAAGCCGAGCUCCCUGCUCAGGAAUGAAGGGAGCGGCUGCUCCUGCUUGGGAAUACACAACCCUGCUGAAUUUCCGGUAGUGCUGAUGGAAAGAACCAAAGCCGUUGACACUGCUAAAACUGAACUUCUAAAGCCUGAUUUUCCCACAUGCCAUCAUUAAAGGCAUCACAGAACCAUUCCCC
rnacentral:lncRNA from 1 species